GGGACCUCCUCUGUUCCACCAAGCACACCCCCGCUAGGCCACUCCAGUCAUUCACUCACCUCAGUUCUCCCUCGUGGUGUUCAUUAGCUCCGCCCAGUCUCGUGUUUGUGAAAAUAUCGAAAAGGAAAGGAAAGAAAGAUAGAAAAAAAAUGUGAAAGUGUGACCUCGGGAGUGUGCGUGCGUGCGUGUGUGUAAUUCAACUUGUGGGAAAAACACGCCUAGUUUGCAAUACACAGAAAUACUCACUCAGAACUUGAAGCAACACAACAACAACAAGAAAAAAACAAGAAAAACAACAGCACCAGGAACCAAGAAUCAUCGGCAUCAUCAGCAACGCAUUACCAAC